rnacentral:lncRNA from 1 species
AGCUAUGAUGCUUGAUGCUAACCUAUCUCCAAAGUAUUGGGCAGAAUGUUCAAGAACAGCUAUCUUUAACUUGAAUCGGUUAUGGAGCACUUCCAUUUCUGACAUUCCUUAUAGAAAGCUGUACAACAGAAAUCCCAAUUUUGAGUAUGCUCACACAUUUGGGCAACAAGCCUACGUUCUCUUACCUGAAGCUCAGAGAACAAAGCAAAGUAAAGCUUCUCUUUGUUAUUUUCUGGGGUACUCAGCUGGAUCAAAAAGUUUACAUUUCAUAGAUAAAAAUGGCAAAAUAAUCAUUUCCAGAAGUGCCAAUUUCCUAGAGCAUGAGAACUGGGACAGAUUACAUUCNAACAAGGAAGUUUUUCUACAGCCAAUGCAGCAAGAAAGGGCAGAAGGGGAUGAUUCUUUUCAGAGCUCAGUUCCUUCUCCCUCAGUGUCUCAGCUUAAACUGAAACAUGAUACCUCACAGAGCAAAGAGGAAGGCGUGACAAGUCAGUCAGGGCAGACUGUCAUUUCUCAACACGCUGUACCUAAGAGUGAGAAGCAAGACUUCCCAGUCAGAGAAGGGGGGCGAAUUUUGCCCACAGCUCAAGCCGAAAACCAAGAUGGCGAUUUUUCUGAAGUUGAGCAAACUUCACAGAGAAUCUCUACGAGAUCUACAAAAGGAAUUCCACCAGANAGAUAUGGAUUUACUCAGUUAGCUGAAGAAUUAACAAAUAAUAUUCCAAAUUCCUACCAAGAAGUUUUGCAAUUAUCUAAAGAUCANCANAAACUUUGGAUUGCUGCAAUGAAUAAACAAUUUUCUGUACUUCAGAGCCAGAAAGUAUUUACUGAGGCUACCUUACCUCACAAUGAGAAGGCAAUNACAGCCAAAUGGAUUUUUAGAAAGAAACUUUCUCCUGAGGGAAAAUUAAUUUUUAAAGCGAGAUUGGUAGCGCAAGGAUUUAAGCAACCUUUAAAUGAAGAUGAAAUGAAUUACUCACCAACUGCAAGAUCUCAAAGCCUUGUUACUUUACUUACAGUAGCUGCCAAGAACAAUUUUGUUUGUAAACAUUUUGAUUUUGNAUGUGCAUAUCUGAAUGCCAAGCUUGAUGAGCAAAUCUUUUUGAACCCUCCACCAGGUUUUGAAAAGCAAAAUAAAAACACUGUUUAUCGUCUCCACAAAGCCCUGUAUGGACUUCGAUGCUCCGCCCGCCAGUGGAACUUAUGUUUACAUGAAGUUUUAACAAAAAUGAAUUUUAAGUGUUCUGCUGCUGAUGCUUGUGUGUAUACAAGGGGAAAACAUGACAAAAAGGUUUUUAUUUAUCUUUAUGAAGAAGAUUUGAUUUUCAGUGCCAAAACAACUUCUAUAAUUGAUCAGAUUUCAUCAGAAUUGUCCAAAACAUUUGUUCUUAAAGACCUGGGACAACUGAAAAGUUAUCUAGGCAUU